AGAGAUAUAACUCAGUGGUAGAGUGUCACCUUGACGUGGUGAUAGUCAUCGGUUCAACGAUGAGCACUUCUA
rnacentral:tRNA from 1 species